GGAUUAAUACCUCAUAGCAUAGCAGCUUCGCAUGAAGCCGCUAUUAAAGUCACAACGGUAAAAGAUGAGCAUGCGUCCCAUUAGCUAGUUGGUAAGGUAACGGCUUACCAAGGCUACGAUGGGUAGGGGUCCUGAGAGGGAGAUCCCCCACACUGGUACUGAGACACGGACCAGACUCCUACGGGAGGCAGCAGUGAGGAAUAUUGGACAAUGGGCGCAAGCCUGAUCCAGCCAUGCCGCGUGCAGGAUGACGGUCCUAUGGAUUGUAAACUGCUUUUAUACGAGAAGAAACACUCCAACGUGUUGGAGCUUGACGGUAUCGUAAGAAUAAGGAUCGGCUAACUCCGUGCCAGCAGCCGCGGUAAUACGGAGGAUCCAAGCGUUAUCCGGAAUCAUUGGGUUUAAAGGGUCCGUAGGCGGUUUAAUAAGUCAGUGGUGAAAGCCCAUCGCUCAACGGUGGAACGGCCAUUGAUACUGUUAAACUUGAAUUAUUAGGAAGUAACUAGAAUAUGUAGUGUAGCGGUGAAAUGCUUAGAGAUUACAUGGAAUACCAAUUGCGAAGGCAGGUUACUACUAAUUGAUUGACGCUGAUGGACGAAAGCGUGGGUAGCGAACAGGAUUAGAUACCCUGGUAGUCCACGCCGUAAACGAUGGAUACUAGCUGUUGGGAGCAAUCUCAGUGGCUAAGCGAGAGUGAUAAGUAUCCCACCUGGGGAGUACGUUCGCAAGAAUGAAACUCAAAGGAAUUGACGGGGGCCCGCACAAGAGGUGGAGCAUGUGGUUUAAUUCGAUGAUACGCGAGGAACCUUACCAAGGCUUAAAUGUAGAUUGACCGAUUUGGAAACAGAUCUUUCGCAAGACAAUUUACAAGGUGCUGCAUGGUUGUCGUCAGCUCGUGCCGUGAGGUGUCAGGUUAAGUCCUAUAACGAGCGCAACCCCUGUUGUUAGUUGCCAGCGAGUCAAGUCGGGAACUCUAACAAGACUGCCAGUGCAAACUGUGAGGAAGGUGGGGAUGACGUCAAAUCAUCACGGCCCUUACGCCUUGGGCUACACACGUGCUACAAUGGCCGGUACAGAGAGCAGCCACUGGGCGACCAGGAGCGAAUCUAUAAAACCGGUCACAGUUCGGAUCGGAGUCUGCAACUCGACUCCGUGAAGCUGGGAUCGCUAGUAAUCGGAUAUCAGCCAUGAUCCGGUGAAUACGUUCCCGGGCCUUGUACACACCGCCCGUCAAGCCAUGGAAGCUGGGGGUGCCUGAAGUCGGUGACCGCAAGGAGCUGCCUAGGGUAAAACUGGUAACUAGGGCUAAGUCGUAACAAGGUA
rnacentral:rRNA from 1 species